CGAUAAUUAAAGAGAGCUCGAGCACACACACCUGAAAUAAUUCAAUUUAAAUGCGUGUCUCCAGAUUAAAUCAUAAUUGAAAGCGAAUAGAUCAAGCCUUAUUAUUUUGUUUUAGUCAUUUGAUAAUAAAUGGAGGAGCGCAGCCCUCGUGCUCUCAUUAUGCCGGCCCGGGCAACCUUACAUAAGAUUCAUCUUGUGCUUAAUAGGCUGCGAGAGGCGACACAUGCAGCUCGCUCCAUUAUAAUGCAAGGUUGAAAUGGGCCGCUCGGGCUUGCUAUCUGCAUCUGAGUGUGUUCCCCGCUACCUCUAAUCUGCUUAUGAUAAUAAAGGAACAGCGGGGCCCUGCAGCUCUCUGAAAGCGGGCCCCAUCCAGCCGGGAAUGGCCCUGCAUCCACAAUCAUCCUGAAUUAAAGCCGUUGUUUGACAAAAACCAGGAGAAACACGCGGGGCGGCUCCCUCCGACCACUUGUAAGCCCCCCCCUCUGUAUAUACACAUGCAGGUUUGGAUGGAAACAGCAAAUAAGAGAGAGAGAAGGGACUGAUCUGAGGUGGAAAAAUACGUAUCGAGAAGAGAAACAAAAAUCAAGAACUCACGGAAAGUGACAUAAACUGAGUGUAAUAUUUUUCUCUUGAUUUGAGCGAUUUUUGUCAUAUUUUAGUCAAUCUAAAUGUUUCGUUUUUGUGCCAAAAUUUGCAAAAAAUCACGGAUCCUGUUCAGUGGAGAGAAAAUAGAAAUCGCAUGUGGGAGUGAAAGGGACAGAUUUCAGGAGAAAUGCAAAUAAACUUGUCUUUCUUGCCACUAGGGGCCGUAUCAGGGGCUGGAGACGAGCCAAGAUUAUACUUCAAUAUAACACUUACAGGUGCGUAAAAGCAGAGUGGAAAUUUGUUGUUGUAAUUUCAGAUUAAAGGAGAAAUUAAAAUGCUUUGAGGAAACUUUAGGGUUAGGGUUUUGUAUUAUCAUUCAGUACAAUUAUAUAUUUCUUAUUGUUGCAUUUUGUUUAAAAGAUACGGUGCAAUAAAUCUUUAUUAUCCAUUUUACGCAUGGACAACAAAGAUAAAUAAGAUUAAAGUGUGUGUGAUGAAAAAGGUUAAAAAGUUUUAAAUGAAAGAAAAGCUUUCAGCACAUAAUAAAAUAAAAUAAAACCAGAUUACAAGUAAAAAUCUGACAUUCUGUUUAUAAAAUAAAAGCCUAAAUUAGUCGGAUACCGGAGCAUCCGUGCCGGUGAAAUUAUAGAUGAAGUUCUGUUUAAGUUGUAAUUCAAACUGUAUUUAAAUCAAAUACAGGAGAAGAAAUAAUGUGUCAAAAGUGUAAAAUCAAAUCAUAAAUUAAUAUUAAACAAGUGCCACUUUGAUGAUCAUCUGCGCGCGUAAUGAUCUGCGCGUAUGUUGAGCAGAAAAGCAGAGCGGCCAACAACAUUUCAGGCAGCCAGUGAAGCUCAUGAUGCCAUGCGGUGUCAUUCCACAACACUGCAUGUUUUACAUACACACACCGACUCCAACACACACUAACAUACACACCGACACACACACAAACACACCCAGGGCUUCUCCUCUUCACCGCACUCAGACUUACUGCCAGUUUGGGGAGUUGUCUUCCUCUCGUCUUGAUUGGCACAAAUUAAACAAGAUGCCAUUUUUUGCGCUCAACCUCCUCCGUAGCUUCCCCUCACUCCUCCUGGAAAAGUCCGCUCCAAACUAAGCCCGGGGAUAGAGCUUCCACAAGCCGGCUUGGUGAAACGUCCAACUCCGGCGGCGGCGGGCACCGUCUUCAUUUUCCAACCCUUCCCCAGAAAGUUCCCCCGGUAGUCCGCGCGGUUUCCAACCCGUCAGCCGGUGCGCCGUGGCCCGGCGUGCAGCUUGCGUGGAGCCCCGCUGCCUGUGUGGAGCUCCGCUGUCUUCUUUCCGCGAGCCCUGCAACAAGAAAAGCCGUUUAUGGCGACACACAAUGUGAAAAGGGGGCCGAUUUAAAAAGGAGAAGAAUGCAAGCAAGAACAACAAAAGUCAGUUAUAGCAAAGUCUAUGCCUCUCCUCUCCUAUCUUCCACCCCCUAGCUUAGCCCACAUAAUGAGCAGGAAAAAGCUUUAUAUUUUGUUCACUGGGUAUUCACAGAUAAUUUGAAGCCAUUGUUUCUGCCACAGAUGGUUCUUUUUAAUACAAUAACGGUGCUCUUUGUGAAUAGCGAGCCCACAAUAAAAAUCUAAAGCGUCCUCCUGAAUAACCAUUUUGUUCUCUCUUGUAUAGGCCGAACAAAAGCGCCAGUGAGGUAAUGGCCUGCCUUAUUGAAAGCCUCAGAAUGGGGAUUUGAUAAAGAUUUUUUUUUCGCUCCUUUUUUCCUUUUUUUUUUUGCACAAAGUACACGGCAAUGUCACAGAGAAACUGACACGGCAUGAAAAGGAAGCAGGCUGCAAAAAAAGUGCUUGCUAUUGCAGGUUGCAAAAACUAUUAUUAAUCUAUCAUUAUUAAUUUAUGAUCAAUUUAUUAUUAAUAUUAUUAUUGUUUUUCAACUUUGUGCAGGAGUCAGAGGUGAGAGGUUGUUUUCGGUGCUGCGGCAGAGCAGGUCAGGUGCAGGCGUGUUAUGGAUUUUACAAUGGAGCUUAAAUCCAGAAUACAUUAGCCUCCAAAGGUCUGCUUUGGAUUUGGCACACAGGCUCAUAAUUUUAGCAUAGGGUGAGUCAAAGUUGUGCUUGAUAGAAUUAAGUAUUCAGGCUGCAUACCCUUGGUGUCUCUGCAGAAACCCUCCUGUUUCUAAUGCUACCCUUUUCACGACAGAAAACGCGCCACAUGGCCUUAAAGCAGCAGAUAAGAGAGUGUAAAAUGUCAUAAACGCGCCGAUGUUAAUAGGUGGAAAUCAGGCAGAAUAUAGUGUAAGAACUCAGGUUGGGAUGCACGCAUGCAGGUGUGUGUGUGUGUGACAUGUUUUAGCACCUGAUCCUGUUGCCAUCUUCCACACAGUGCCCACGCUUGAUGUAAUUUGUAAUUAACUUAUGGCUAAUCAAUAAAGCGUUUAACAGAGAGCACAAUGCACACACAGGGGAUGAUCCCAAGCCAAACAUAUUGGAUGUCACUGAUCGUUACAAGGUGAGGACACCCUGUCUGUCACAUGGGUGGCUGGUGAGAGUUUGGAUUUGGAUAGGGGGGGAGAUAGGGGGAAAGAGCUGAAGGAAGGAGAGGAGAGGAGAAGAGGGCAGAGGAGGAAGAGGAGGAGGAGGAGGAGGAGGAGAGGGGAUAAAGGAGGGAAUAAUAGACGAGAGGAGAGGUGAGGAGAAAAGAGCAAAGAAUCCUAUUUCAGCUCAGCGAGAAGAGGUCGUAGAGCUUCAGAUAAACACACACAGGAUCAGUUUCCUCCCUCAAUCACAUGUAACAACACUUACACACACACACUCACACACACACACACACAUGGAUUAUGAUCGAGGCCUGCAUCAUCACGUGGGACGCUGAUGAAAAACACUGAUACUUGGCCUUUGCAUACACAAAAUAACAAGAUGCUGCUCUUUUUGCAGAAGGAUCUGAAAUAUCCCUUUUUCUUUGAUCCACACAGCUGACAUGAUUCUCUGUAAAGGCCUUUAACACACACACACACACACACACACACACACACACACACACACACACACACACACACACACACACACACACACACACACACGUUCAGACGGACUCUUCAUUCCAGAAGAAAAGCAAAAAUAGAUGCAGCCUGGAAGUUAUUUCAAACUCAAGGUCCAGUCUAGGAGGACGGCUGCAGAAUCCUUAUGAAGAAUUAUUAUUCUGAAUUAUUUUCAUUAAACAAUUGUUGAAUCUCAAAGGUUCAGUUUGGAAAUUCUUUUAUUUCCUGCAGAGGACUCACGGUCACAAGUCAGUUUUCUUAUUAUUGUAUAAAUCCAGCUGCGCACUAACUCAACAAUUUCGCUAUGUUCAUAUUUUUUAUCAGUCACAUGGCUGUAGAAGAGCUUUUUCAAAUAAACAAUUUGCAGUAGAUGAUUAAAAAUGCUGAAUUUUGCCUGAAUCAUGAACGUAAAAAAACAGUUUGCACAUGCUCUUGCUAAAAAUCACCACUUCCAACAAACAGGAAUGCCUUUAAAAUGUCUGCAAUGUCUUUAUUUUGGGACUUUAUUGUAACUGCAGAAAGUAGAUUUGCACAUCAAUGGAAAAGAAACAUUUUCACUUUAAAACCUUUAGUUAACCUGAAGAAGUCACCUUGAAUUUCAAUGUCAUUAAGAACAUUUAAACGUCUAUAAUCAAUCACAUAAAUAGUAAAUUUAAACAGAGACGAUUUGAGAAAUAGUAGUUGGAAAUCAAAAAUAUCUUCAGAGUUUUAGGAGGAUAUUUCAUAAACCAAAAUUACAGCGUUCAGUGCAAGCUUUAGGAACUUUCUAAUCAUUUCAUUCCCAUAAUUUCACUCCCAACAUGUUCAUGAUACAAGGAGUUAUCUUGCCAGUAAUGGCUUUCAAAAAACACAAAUUCUGAUGUUUGUUGCCCCUGAGUUCAUGGAGGACACACUGAUGAGUCACGUCUAUCACCAGGUAUGAAGCUGACAGCACUGUUAUAAAUCACAUCACUAUAAUCCAAAACAGGUAAACAGAUAAUUUACAGAUAAGCUGCUAUAAACGCUGCUUAAACCAUCAAGAUUUGCCUGCAUCACCACCCUUCCAUCACAUAUGGUUGUUUUUUAAAAAAUAUGUAAAUCAUCUGCAUAAUUUCAUCAGACAAAGAGUAUUUUUUUUCUUUAUCAGCUCAUGAAAUCUAUUUUCCGUUUGCAGCAAAGCACAUAUGGUCUCGUAACAUUUCCCCCCCUGUUAAAUCCACUCGCACACAACCUAAGUGACACCUUCAAAAUGUCUAGAAUUCAGCCGUUUCAGCCUCUUCGGCCUUGACGGCUGAACAAAAAGUCAAAAGUGCACCACCUACAGAAAACAAGGAUGACAUCCUAGCGCACAAACAACAUAACCAAGGCCUGCCCAUCAUUGAGCUUAUAGAGAAAUUACACCUAACCUCAACAAUUUAGAGACACACGGUGUGUUGACAGAUGCAGUGCAGCGGUGUAGAAACAGCACAGCAAAGAGCAGGCAGUACAAGUUAGUGAGAGAGACGGGUUUAGAGGGAAGAGAGGAAGAGGAGAAGCAGAGGGUUCAGCGGCAGAGGAAGAUUUAAGGACAAACACAUAAAAGAGAGAAAAAAUGAGAGAGAGGGGAUCAUAGCUCCGAGUGUGAAAAGGCUUAGCAGUUAAGAAAUAUGACUUUGGCUCUUUAUCUGAUCAAUCUGCGCGCCGUAUAUUCUGAAUCACAGACACACCACUCAUAUUAGAGAGCCGGAGCGCUUUUAAUUACAAACCCAUCCACAGGGGCGAGAGAGAGAGAGACACAGAGAGAGAGUGAAAGAGAGAGAGAGAAAACCUGCGGAAAAACCAUCAUCAUCAUCACUGAAUGCUAAUGCAUUUCAAAUAGAAUUUGUCUUUUGAUAUACACGCACGCACACGCACAAACACACACACACAGACACACAGUCCUGUCAGCGUUUCCAUAUGCAUGAGAGUGGACACAUUUGCUGCAUCUGUUUUGUGUGUUUUCUCACAGCUCGGCCUGAUGGGAGAUCCACAGUGGGCUCCUCUCCCAUGUGAGUGUCUGUAUAGAAUGAUGUGUGUGUGUCUCAGUGUGUGUGUGUGUGUGUGUGGGUGGGGUUGGGGGGGGGGUUUGCGGUACAGACACACUAACACAAUAAUCAGUGAAAAGAGAGAGGGGGGCUCUAUUGAAGGAGAUGCAGCCAACCAACUGUCAAUCAUGUCACAUACACAAACUUUACCCCCCCCCCCCCCCCCCCCCACACACACACACACACACACACACAGACAGACACACACACAUCCAUUACCACUGCUUUACUUGCCCUUGAGUCAAAAUAGUAACAUUAAUGAAAGGUUAUUUGAGACUCCGGUCACUGUUCAGGUUCACAACAUCACAUCAAGUACGUUCAAUGCUGCGUUCAAGUCUGCUCUCGGUUUAUUUUCCAUCUCCACGGCUCGUCUCCGUCUGACCUGAGACAUGAAAUUUCCCUCUUUUUAUAUAUAUUUCAGUUGAGGGAUGUUUAAAGUUUAUACGACUCAAAUAUUAUCAGAUAUCAAACUGACGCCACAGAGCGACACUGGAACACAGUCUAAAAUGCUAAAUACAGAUUUUUUAAGGUUUGUAAGUCUGUCUGUGUAUUUAAAUGAAAACAGAACACAUAUUAAAGGUGAAAAUGGGAGGGAGGAUGCAAUGCCCAUGAUUUAAAAAAAAGUCAAAAUUUGAUUUAUCCGACCUUAAGACAGUUCUCCCGUCGCCUCAGUCCACUCUGGUUUGUGGGUAUGAUUGUAGAUCCAUGCAGUGAUUUCUACUACAGAGUCAUGUCUGUUUGUGACACAUCUCCACCUGAGGGCUUGAGGACCACUGCUAUCAAGUUUUAGUUUUUGACCUUUUAACUUUUAUAGCUUUCUCCGGAUUCUCUAAUGAAUCUUUUAACAUUACACAACUUUUUCAGUUUUGUUGUCACUGUGCAAACUUUUUUUUUUUUUUUUAAAGUGUUGCUGGUAUCAAAUUUUAAAUGCACACACAUUUUACAUUAAACAGUUUUUAAAUGUCAUCAUUUGAUAUGUUGUCUUUGGACUAUUUUCAAUUAAAUGUAACCCUUGAAUAAUCUGCGAACUAGGGCUGCGAUCAACGACUAUUUUAAUAGUCAACAAGUCACCGACUAUUGAAACGAUUAGCUGACUAAUCAGAUAAUUACGUGCCUUCUCCUCAAAUGUUAGUGCAUUACCAACGCAAACUUUGGAGGUUUUGAAGCACAUACUUGUAGCUGCAGUAUAGGACGCUGGCGCUGCAAUGUCUGAAUACCCUACAUUCGGCGGAGGCGCUAUUGCGCAUGUGUGACUCUAGGCAGAGUUUGUAAUGAAGUAAGACGCCUCACUCCACUGGAAAAGACACAUCUGGUGAUGAUACAGGACAAUGGAAUUCAUUGUCGACCUUUUUUCAUUAUCGAUUUUUGUCGACAACAUCGACUAAUUGUUGCAGCCCUACUGUGGACGAUCAAUAUUUGUUUUUAACAACAUUUUACGGUGUCCCAACUCAUUAGUGGAUAAUAUGCUGCUUGUAAUCACUGAAGAAAGCUUGUUUUUGUAGACGCAAUCUUUUGUAAUCCAAAGCCACAAUAAACCUUAAAGCUGUGGGCGUGACCAUCAUGACAUGUCUUAUAUCAUUGGAAUCAAGUAGAACAGCAACAUUACAUCCAGCAAUAUUAAUCACUCCAUAUUAUGACCUUUGCUUAGAAACCACAUCAACACAUUGAUCAAGAUGGUACUGUAACAGCAUAAGUUCAUGAAAGCUUGCUGUUGUUGUGACUUUGGUCUGUAAAUUUGCAUUUUUCGUCUCGCUUAUACCAGACUCCUCUCUUUAAACAGACUGAGUCUAUGUGGUGACGUAUUGCACAACUUUAAAAUGCUUUACAAGUUUUAAUGUGGCUGGACAACUUUUCAACAAUAGACAUCAAAAUGCUAGUGCAGGCAUAAAUUUCCAUACAUAAACAGCAUUUCCAAAUGCGUCUGCUGCUGUAGUACGGACAUGGCCAGACCCUGAAAAGUGCAGGUCACACGCAGUAAAGUUGAGGAUUAGAGCUCUAAAAGAUACUGAAAUGCUGACCACCAGGAGAGAGGUGGUCGGUCAGUCCCGCUGCUGUUUGUUCAGCAACCAGGCAGGAAGAAAGACAUGCACACACAGCUGUCACGUAUUUACAGAACAACCAACUUCACUGGCAUCUCAUUAAUAAAGAAUGCUGCAUACACAGUUUGAACAGAGCAGAUACGGGAAGUUUCUUUUGGUUCCCUCUUGAACCCUGCCACACUAUUCUGGGUGUAAGGCUCAUAUCAACUGAGGUCAGAUUUGAAGAAGAGUGGAGUCUGACUAAGAAACAGAGGCAGAUUUGACCCCAAAAUAACAUCAAAUCUGCAGCCAAAGCAAUUGGUCCUCAGACUGUGAUGGUAAAUAUCUCAACUGAUGUUUCAUAGACUGCAAAGAGAUUUGGUGCCACCAAUUAUCUCUCCUUUAAGACAAUUUGUGAAAAACUUUUGUGAUGCCCUGCUAUCUUCUUAAGAUCCUGCAUUGGUGAUUAACUGGUAAAAUGUUUACGUGGUUGUAAAAAAUGUUUUUGGAUAUGAAAUCCCAAAUACUUGUCCAGUGAUGUAUCUUGGGAAUAUUGAGAAGGUUGAAAUGAAAGAAGAUCUGUACUUGACGAAAGUUUAAAUCAAAGCAAGCAAGAAAGCAGUCACAAGAAACUGGCUCAGUGUGAACACUCCAAACCAGGAGCAGUUGUUCAGACUCAAAGAGGACGUAUUUGAAAAAAAAAAAGGGAAAAUUUGAACAUUUUUAUGAGACAUGACACCAACUGAACAAAUGCGAAAUGGAACAGUGGACUGAAGAGUCGUAACUCCAGACAGUUUGUUAGUGUUACUAUGGUUACUUGUACCCUGUUUGCUGAAUUGUUUUUGCUUAUACAUGUGAAAACUCAAUAAAAAAAUUUAAGUAACAAAAAACAAAACAAACAAAAAAAGAUCCUGCAUUGUGUUGAAAUUUGAAUGUCAGAAACACUGGUUUGUUCACAUUUUGUCAUUAAGAUAAUUACCUUAUCUUAUAAUUACCAACCUUAAUUCUGUACCCAUUGUUAAGUUCAUGCAAGUAAAUGUCAGCAUGCUUAGAUACUAAACUGGGUUGAUACAGUAUAUUCACAAAAUAUUAACAUGUCAGCUAGGGGUGUCCCGAUACCUCCGAUACGAUACCGAUAUUGUAGCCUUCAAUACUGGCCGAUACUGAUAUUGAUCCGAUAUUGGCACAAACUUGUGCAUGAUAAGUUUUGCAAUGUCUUUUUCAGAGUUGAACGAACGUUGAACGAAAAAUACUGUCAGACAGCCGACAUCACUCCUUCCCUUUGCUACUCUGUUUGUAACUCAGCACACAAUGCUGUUGUGAUUGCGUGGGCUGUGCAUGCUGGAUGCGGGUGCUGCUAGAUAGAGGUGGCGGAGUGGAGUCUGGAAUGGACUGCUUGUAUCGGAGAGCUGAUAUCAGAGAUUUUGGAUGCAGGCAGAUACAAUCUGAUAUUAAUUUUUUGGGUGAUAUCGGACCGAUAUCCAAUAUUAAUAUUGUAUCUGGACACCCCUAAUGUCAGCAUGCCUUCAUGUAUUUAGUCAGUCAGUUUCUGGGUAGUACAAAAAGAUAUGAGAGAACAGGACCCUCUUCAGGAUUAGCUGCAACAUUUUCCCGAUUCCAACCUUUGUCAGAGUCCUCAUCAUUAAGAGAUCAGAAAACCAAAGGAAAGGACUCUAAAAACCAAUCAUAGACCGAGUUAAACCCAACACAAAGAGGGCUAAAGCCUGGGUUCAAAAUGAACAUUAAAAAAAAGUCAUACUGUGCGCCAUAAGGAAGGAUGGAUAAAUUAAUGCUGUCAUUUUAAAGAUGUAGGCGAAAUCUUAUUUCAUGACAACCGCAGAAUAAAUGUUGACUGAUGUUUACUGCUGAUGAAGCCAGAUUAUUUGUAGAGUUUAUCUUGACAUAUAUUAUUAACCAACAGAUUACAACCAUCACUGCAUGAAAACAGGGAAGUCUGAUCAGCAGCUUUACCAAGUAUUCCCCUUAAAUCAUAUUAAAAAGAUGUCAUAUAAGAUAGUUUACUCUGUCCACUUGAUUGACAGCUAAUAAUGAUCAAAACCAAUCAAAGCAGCUGAUUACUUAUCAGGCAUCAGAACAUGUGAUUGAUGACUGAUGAAGAGAGCUGAAUUAAGCCAAAAAACAUCAGAUCAGUCAGAUGAGGGGAGGCCUACUUUAAAAAUAACCAACCCACUGAGUUGAUUGAUGGUUAUUAAUGACCGAGUCGGAUUAACAGAGCGGCUUAGAGGACAACCCUCACGGUCAGAGUGAUUGAUAUGAAUGUGAAGCAGAAAUUAUUCCAAACAUCUGCAUCAGGCACUCUGAGAAAGAGAGCAAAAAAUGAAAAACUGAAGUAUCUGUUUCAGAGCCAGAUGAUCGGACAGAUUCACACUCGUCUGAUAUUAAACAUGGACUUUAAAGAUGAUGAUACUAAACAUGAGCAGGUGAAGAGUCCCACUUUGAGAUUUGUUUCUCAAAGUUGUUGAGGUUACGCUUGAUUGGACUUUUAAAACACAGGGACUUUAUUUUUUCAAACACAGGUGGGACUUAAAAAGACAUCAUUUGCUUCUAGGGAUGCACUGAUCCGAUAUUUGGAUCGGAUAUCGGCUCCGAUAUUGACAGAUCAACUGGAUCGGAUAUUGGAUGAAUGAUUCCGAUCCAGCGUUCCGAUCAAGUCUUUUAAUUAAUUUUUCUUUUAAUACAUGUAAGUCUUACUUCUUCUUGUUGUGUGCUAAUGUGCAAUUUGUUAUUUGUUAAUAAUUAAUAUUAAGUAAAUUUAUAUCUGUGUUAGUUUGUUACCUUUUAUUAACAAGGCUAAUGUCAAGCCUGGUGCCUUCACUCACAGGGAAAGAUAUACAGCUCAUUCACUCAACUGAAGUAUUGGAUCAGUAUCGGAUAUCUGCCGAUACACUUAGACAAGGUAUCGGUAUCAGACUGGAUCGGUGCAUCUCUAUUUGCUAUAUAAUUGCAUCACUACCACGUGGCAACUAGGGUUGGGCACUGAGUCAAGCAUUCUCCCGGAACUGUUCAAAUUUUAAAAUUUCGAUUGCAAGUUUCGAUGCCGGAGUCCACCGACAGGAAGAAAUACCGAACACCAACGAGGAAGAUGCCAUUUUAACUGCGGUUAAAAGUUUGGCUAACUUUAGCAGGAAGAAUGAACUCUUAUCUCAGUGCAAUAUUAGCAACACAGUUAUAUCAUGCAAAAGAGGGUGCAUGACCAACAUGAUUAAACACCUCAGGAUUCAUGGAGGAGAAAUACCUGAGUGCCCAUCUUCGACGCGCUUCGACGGUUUUCCGCUAACCAGCCAGAAUCACAUAAGUGAAACAAUAAAUUACUUCUCUCUUCUUCUAACUUUAAAGCAGCAAAGAAAUUGUACUGUGUACGGUGGGUCAACUUAAAUAUCCAACUAAUGUUAGACUUUGUACUUUUUCAUAGACAAACGACCUGACAGCAAAAAUUGAUAUUUAUAUACUGGUUGAAAAUAGCCCCUGUGAGAAAUUCAUAGUAAAGUUCUUAAAAAGUUUAUAUGAUUUAAAAAUUCAUGGAGAAGUUCAGAAAUUUCAUCCAAAAAGAAGAGCUCCGGUUAGCGCCCUCAUUUAAACCAUGCACUUUCUUUUUUAAUAUCCUGCCUUUCAAAAGAAUCGGAAUAGAGAAUCGUUAGGUACCAGAAUUGAAACAAGGAAUCAGAAUCGUUCAAAAUCAAACGAACGAUUUUGAAUUUUCUAACAUGUUCUUGGCUGAUUUUCAAACUCGAUCUAUUUUUAAACCUUUGGCUCAAAGUCUUUAAUUUCACAGCCUCUAACCCAGAGUUAAAAUCCAGUCAAGCUGUUUACAGGCAUCAACACAUACACACACACAAACACACACCCACAACCUGAGGCUACAUUACACAUGUACACAUACAAGACAUUUCACACUCACUCCAUCAUACACUCAUCUCUCUCCCCUCUCAUCUCUCUCUCCCGGCCACCGCUGGUUUUGUUUACAGGCCAAUUUGAAUGAGAAUGAAUCUCUCUCGGAUGUUUCUAGAAAGCGCUCUAAUCCACGCAGGCUGCUGCGAGGCCCCGGCCCUUUGUUUGGGAUUACUGCAGCUUAGCGCUAGCUAACAAUGAGGAGAUGAGCAGCUCACCUCAUCGCCGCUAAUGAAGUGUGGAGAGUCAUUUAGCUGCUAGCUAGCUGCUACCGAGCUGGGAUGAUACCUUCACACACGCCUGCACAUACACACACAGACACAUACACACAUUUGUGUUACUAUGCCUGUGAGGACACCGGCUGAUGACAUUUAUUUUUGAACUUCUUAUCCUUCUCAGUAACACGCUGAACCUCUUGAACUCGAGUGUCGCCCUUAAAUUUCCGCUGAAGAAGCGUCAGAGUUAGAAAAUAAAGCAAGACUCCCAAAACUGAAAAUCAUAGUCCUAAAUAUUAGUCACAACACAUUUUUAAAUGUUUUGUUCAGAUUCUUGAAUUAAAGUGUGAAUCAUAUCAGUUUUUUUAAUGAAGCCUUGAGAUCCAAAAACAUUAGAUCAACUCUGAUCAGUGACACAUUAUCCAUUUUGGGAUAUUGACUAUAAAUCAAAGCAAUAGAUCUUUUGAUGAAGCCAUGAGUGAUAUGACAACUUUUUUUUUAUGAUCAACAAUAGCUCUGUAUGAAUCCAUGCACUACCUGCCCAAGUUUGCUAAGCCUUGUUGUUGAGUAUGUAGUAUUUGGCACUUAAUCACAGGGCUCGACAGUGCGACCAUUUCACUCGCAUUUGUGCACAUUUGCGCAUAAAAAAAGUCAACAACAGUUUUUUCAUGUAAAUACCACGGUGAAAUUAGUUUUAGGUCGACAGACAUUUACCGUGGAUCUACCGGUGUCUUCUCACUCUUCAUAACCGUGAAUAGCAACAGCAGCGUGGUUAAAUCUACUCGGCACCUUUGCUGUUAACAUCAGGUGUUGAAUAAGGGACCAUCAAUAAAUUACCGGUUGAUGUUCUCAAAAAAGCUGUUUUCCUUCAAUAGCUUCCAUGUCAUGUGACCAAUUGACAUAAAAUUGAUUUCAAAUAAUAAUAAUAAAAUAAUAACUCUUAUGUUGACCAAUAAGACACACCUCUUUAUUUCUCCAGUUUGUCCUCUUAAAAUGUUUGGGCUAAAUUUAAAAGCAAAUUUUGAACAUUUUCUUCAAUAGCUUCCAUGUUGUGUCAAGCCCUGUAUCACCGUGAUAUUGUCCUCAGGGGUUGGUGGUGGAGACCAAAAUAGAGUUAAAAUAACACGACUUCAUGAUUUCCAGGUGGCCAUUGUUAUGCAUAAAGUGCGCAACAUCUGGAUCAUGAUACUUCCCAGUCUGCUCCUCUCAUUGGUUGGUGCAGGUAUUCAGUCUGAGGCUGUCUGACCUGGACCAGAUUAUUGAGGAUUGUUCAGACAAAUAUCGGUUACGGCAAGCUCUGAAUUAGCAAACUGGGCACUAAAUGGGAUCUUCAAUUGUCUUGUAUGUGGCCAACAACCUAAGUCGAAUUUUUAAAAAUCUAAUACUGACUAACAUAACUGGCUGAGCUCUGUUUGUCAAUCUCAUUAUUUUGAAGAUAUCUCAGACCACCGCGUCUUAUUUUAAGACCAAACAUUAAAAAUGAUUCAAUGGAAAACCUUCUUAAAACGAAGAGACAUUUAAAAAGGUCCUUCAGAGUCCUCAGUGCUGUGGGAAACAAGCUGUAUUGUUGUUUGUCCGUGCAGAAAAUAAACAUGUCCAUGUUCAAGCUUCCUGCCAUGUAUGUAUAUGGGGGGGGGGGAGAAUAUAAGCCAUGGUCACCAGGGUGAAGAGGCACCGAGGCAACAGGGGGAGCAGGAAGAUUUAAGCCUGGCAGAGACACACACAGAUAGCAGAGGUCCACACUGAGAGUAUGUUGGCGUAUGUUCUGACAGAGCGACUGAGCCUGGCAUCUGAUUAACACAGACUGAAGAGAGGAAGGGAUUCUGAUGUUUAUCCAGGUCUACGGAUGAUCGUGGCAGGUUCAGACCUCUGUGCUGGACUUGGACGGUUCAGCGGGGGAAUGGCAGUGCCUUGGAAAUGAACCAGGACAUUCCCCUGGCUUUUAAAAGCACUCCUAUAUGCACUCAGGUAUAGACACAAAAAGCUGCGACAAAGACAAGUUUAAUAUCUGAGGGUCGAUGAUGACAGACAUGUUAAAUAUUUCAUCCAAUUAUUGCGUUCUGUCUCAACGACAUUUUGCAUCUUCGUAAAGAAUAUAGUAGAAAGUGGAAUUUCAGUCAUGCGCUGGCCUCUAACGCUGACCUUUUGUUGACUGUCACGGUUUGGCGUCGUAUUUACUGCAGGACAUCACCUUGAGAAACGUCCACUCACUACAUACUUGUAAAUAUUUACUCUCUGUCUGCUCCACCUUUUCCGCGUCUAUUUAGCAGCUGGUUAACUAAACAAGGUAAACAAAGAAAAGGAGUUCCCAUGAUUGCAAAUCGGACAUUACGCUCUCCACGACAGGAAAUCACAGAUGUUCUUCAUUACAAAAUACAUUAACUCUAUGGUUAAAGUGGGUUAUCCCUUUGUUCUAAGGGUCCUUUUCCACUUGUAUUGUAAAGGAUCUAUGAGGGUAAACCUUUCUAGUUGUGCACGACUAAAAAAUAAGAAGUAAGGACAUUUGAAUGAGGAAAUCUGCUUGAGCAUUGUACAACCAUCAGUGUCUAAGAAAGCUGUUUCGCCUACUGCUUUAAAAAGUAGUAAGUUUAAGUAAUCACAUGGAAUCUGUAGGAGAGUCAUUUUUACAUCUAGACCCAAAACACUGAAGAUUUAAUGUUGAGAAAACAGCGUUAGGAUAAUCAAAAUGCCUUUGCCUCUGCUGUUGCUUCAUACUGGAAAAAUUAAAGUUUUAUAUUUAUUUAUUUUAAGUUCACAAUGUGUUGUCCAUACAAUCCUUAUUGCAGGAACAUGCAAAGAUGUAAUGAGCAAAGAUGUAUAAAUACUUAUAUUUAUAUUCGCAUGCCAAUUCUGACAUUCUUAUUGGAAACAGAAAAAAAAGGAAAAAAAAAAAAAGAAAACAUUUUAUCUCAAAGUAAAAAAAUUACUUGAAAAAUUGUAUUUUGUUUCAACUGAGGUUGUAUUCACCUUGAUUAGAUCCUAUAAAUUGAACUUACAGUGUCAAAAGCUCAUGUUUUCUUGAUCUAGUAAGAACCACAUAAAAAAGCAAAUCCUGUUCUUACAUCAGAGGACUGUAUGAUGGUGGAUCUCUGGCUCUCUCUGACGACACUGGGGAUAUCAUUAUGAUUUCAACAUGUUAUCUGAAAGACCAAAUUGGGAAAUUUUUAGCAAAUAAAAAGUAACUGAUAGAGUCGGCAUGUUUGCUUCCUCUGCAUGCGCUCACACACUCACAUAAACACACAGACACAGAGGUAUUUCUCCUAACAGUGUCUCCGACGGGCCUCCAGAGUGUUAAAAAGUCAGAAUCACAGAGUCAACAGGCUGUAAAGCGAAGGAGUCAUAAAUGUUCAGUGUUUAUCUUCUGGCUGAGAAACCUCACACCUCACUGAUAACGUGUGUGUGUUUGUGUGUGUCAGGAAGGCCUCAGACUCUGUGUGGCCAGAGCGGGUUGUGGCUUCACCUUGAACACACACACACACACACGUAUACACACGCACGUACUAGUCUCCAUCCUAUUUAAACAGCACUUGUUGAAUUUCACAACCAGCUCUUAAAAGACGCAGCGACGCACUGAGGUCCACGAGAAAAUAAAUCAAGGCUGUUCGACUUACUGCAUGUUUACAUGUGUGUAUACGUGUGUGUGUGUGUGUGUGUGCUUUUUAUGUGAAAGAUAAAGACAGUGUGACAUUUCAAAACACCCAAUAAGAAUAUUCACAUGGAGCCAUAAUGUCACGGCUGCAUAAGAGAACCGUGUGAGCAUGAGCCUUUUUGUAAGAGAUACCAUUAGCUUCACAUUAUCAGCAUAAAGGGUAUAAAACAUGUUUACAUAAAUGUUUCUGAGUCCAUGUGUGUGUUUGUGUGUGUGUGUGUCUUAAGUCUGAAUGCAAAUGCAGGAAGUAUGAAAUUCUUUUCAUUAAGUUAUGUCCUUGCAAAAGAUGCUCUCAUGUUGCUGUAUGGAAUCACCAUUUCAGGCUUUUAACAGCAAGAAAUCAGCAUGAAGAGUUAGAUAACAGGUAACAAACAAACAGGACGAGUCGCUCUUUAUCAAAAUAACUUAUCUUUGGAAGAAAUUCCUGUUUAUUCCUAUUAAAAAAAUAUAAGCGCUUGUCGUUACAGAAGUGAAAACGGUCCAAACAGACACAGUCAGAGGUGUCAGACUCAAAAAGUUCUUGUUGAACAAUAUUAAGUGUUAUGGAAGAAAAAAACAAUACUGUGUUUAUGUGUUUUCUAAUAAUGAGUGUAUCUAGGUCAUUCACUAAAGUCACAGACUAAUUUUGCAUCAACAUAGAUGAUACUUAAAUAAGUUUCCUGUGUUUUCAUUUAGCCAGUGUUUCAGAAAGGACUUAGACUUUGUCGCCAACAAGCAAAUUUGCAAAUUCCAUUUUACAUGUGGGCAGAGAAAAUGUAAUUCAGUAGUGCGAAAUAUUUGUCAAAUAAUACCUUUUUUUCCCAGCAGCCUGCACCAGAUCAGCUGUUUGCCAUUCAAUAAUACUGAUAUCCCAAAAAUGUUGUUUUUACAUUUGAUAGAAUAGAAUUACAGUCUAACAUGCAAGAUAAUUUUAGCCAGAAACAUGUUAAAGAAGGAUUCUGAAUUCAUCCGCCAUACAUAAAAUAUACUAUAUACUGUAGAUUUCAGAACAUGACACAAGUGAUAUCAGUCUGCUGGCGAAGCUGCCUGCAGUGUCCGCAGACUUAAAAGGUCUCUGCAGAUCAUUUUGAAAUGCCGUCGAUCAGCUCGACUAAUAAGCCUACAGAUUGAUUGAUUCAUCUAUCUCCAGUGUGAAAUAAAUGCCCAGGCUCUGAAGAAAUUAGUUUGCUUUUGGAAAUACUGUAUUUUUAUAUAUACUAUAAGGCGCACCUGAUUAUAAGGCGCACCAUCAAUGAACGCGUCUAUUUGCGUCUAUUUUCGUACAUAAGGUGCACCGGAUUAUAAAGCGCAUUAAGCCAAACAAAACAGUCAGAUAAGUCAAACUUUAUUUAACUCAUUCGAUUAAGUAGCUGCAGUGCUCCAACAAGCCAAAAGGAUUUUAGGUGGGCCUUAUAGUGCAAAAAAUACGGUAACCCACAGAAGAUUUGACUACAGGUCUUUAUGGAGGUCUAUACUCUCUGAGUUUCUUUCUACUGUUUAAAAAAAUGUCUUAAUUUUUCUGUAGUCUUGUUUAAACUUCAGCAAAUGACGCAAAUAAUUAUUACGGAAACACAGCAUCUGUGCAACAGAUGAUAACAUCUGUCCGUGGAAAUGACUGCGUGUGUGUUUGUUAUGUUGCUUGGAUGUUAUAAAUUAUGUUCAUACUUGUGAACCUCUGCUGUGUUUGCUUGGAUCAUUUCACAAGUGCAUUCCAGUGAUUACCAUCAUGUAUACAUGUGCGUGCACACGUGUGUGUUUGCCCUCGACCAGAAGGCACAAGCUGUCAUGUUUUUGCCUCCUACAGUUAACAUCUGCUUCAUUUAGCGCUGCCAUGUCGCUGUGUGAUACACACACACACACACACACACACACACACACACACACACACACGCUGCCUGACAGACUCAAGUUCACAUGCUGCUUUGCUUUAUCAUACAACACACACACAUUAACUGAGGCUCAGUAUUCUGCCAGACAUCGGAUCAACUUUGAGUAACUGUCUAAAAAUACUUCACUCAAAUGUGGCUCAAGUCUAAAACUUUUAUCACAACAUCAUCAGCAUAAAAACAGACUUACGGUCUUUAACACUUAGAACUUUCAGCUAUACUUUGCUAUUUUUUGUACAUACAUAUAUUGUAAUAUAUACACAUCUUUUUUUCAGGACAACCUCAGCUGUCAGUUUAUGGGUGCAAAAAUUAUGUAAAAUGAAUGUGACAGUAGAUUCAGAACCAUAAAAGUCAACCAAAAAACAAAAAAUUGAUCCCAACAGUACUUUGCUCGAAAACACAUUAAUCUACAGUGACCGAGUCUUUUCUCACCUGAACAUCAUUCUCUCAAGUCUUGGCUAUCAGGAGAAGAAAUAUUGGGAUUGGAACAAACACAAAACAGAAACUAUUUACAUAUUUACACUAAUUCUUCCAGGCGUUUUUUGCUAUUUACAGUUGUUUAAGCCACUCCUUGAAGAAGUUCCUGUCUGGGAUGAGACAAAGGACCACAUCAUACUGCUCAUGAUCUCUUCUUUACUUGUUGCCAAGCAUUGAGGACCAUUUUGCAGACAAGCAGGGAACUUUCUUGUCUCUUGUUGAUCUUUGGUUGCCACUUAUUGGACACUACCGUCAAAGGAUCAAUAGAAGAAGAUGAGACCAUGUCAAACCCAGAAGACAUUAGUGGCAUUUAGCAAUAGUGAUCUUUUUUUAUCACAACAAUAUGACGAAUAAUCAUGUUUUCACUGCGGAUUUACAAUUAAACGUCUUUGAUCAAACACCUGUUUUUGUGGCUGGAUUUUAAACCUUGUGGCAGGUGUAGAAAUGCCUGGAAACCCUCCAUAUAUUGCCAAAAGAGUAAGCUUUUGAACACUUUAUAUAUCAUAGAGAUAUAUAGUAUAGUUCCCAAGAAACUGUCAACAAUAUUAGUGGUGUUGCGUGGGAUCGCUGGUGAUCCAGCAGAGUUCUAAGUGUUAAAAAACACACUGUAUGGCUAACGAAUUUCUUUUUGCACUCUUUGAGAGUUUAAGAAUCCCUCUUUCUUGGCCACAGAUGACCAUCCAAUCCAAUCCUCAUAAUCCAAUCCCCGCUGCCUACUUGUUCUGAUGUGGAAAACUACAUGACUUCACAUCAUCUGCCUCACUACCAAA
rnacentral:lncRNA from 1 species